UAAGCGGAGGAAAAGAAACCAACAGGGAUUGCCUCAGUAACGGCGAGUGAAGCGGCAAAAGCUCAAAUUUGAAAUCUGGCUCUUUCAGGGUCCGAGUUGUAAUUUGUAGAAGAUGCUUUGGGUGUGGCUCUGGUUUAAGUUCUUUGGAAUAUUACAUCAUAGAGGGUGAGAAUCCCGUAUGUGACCAGUCGCCGCGCCCGUGUAAAGCUCUUUCAACGAGUCGAGUUGUUUGGGAAUGCAGCUCAAAAUGGGAGGUAUAUUUCUUCUAAAGCUAAAUAUUGGCCAGAGACCGAUAGCGCACAAGUAGAGUGAUCGAAAGAUGAAAAGCACUUUGGAAAGAGAGUUAAACAGUACGUGAAAUUGUUGAAAGGGAAGCGCUUGCAACCAGACUUGCACGCAGUUGAUCAUCCGGUGUUCUCACCGGGGCACUCUGCUGCGUUCAGGCCAGCAUCCCCUUUGGUGGUUGGAUAAAGGCCUUGGGAAUGUAGCUUCUUUCGGGGAGUGUUAUAGCGGUUUUGGUGCAAUGCAGCCUACCGGGACCGAGGACCGCGCUUCGGCUAGGAUGCUGGCGUAAUGGUUGUAAGCGGCCCGUCUUGAAACACGGACCAAGGAGUCU
rnacentral:rRNA from 1 species